GGGCCCGUAGCUCAGCCUGGUAGAGCGGCGGGCUUUUAACCCGUAGGCCUCGCGGCGGAAGUCCCGGGUUCAAAUCCCGGCGGGCCCGCCA
rnacentral:tRNA from 1 species